rnacentral:tRNA from 1 species
GGGCCAGAGGUCGCAAUGGGGUGACGCGAGUUUUGCAAGCUUGAGAUGGCGGGUUCGAUUCCCGUGUGGUCCACUA